rnacentral:lncRNA from 12 species
UAAGUUAAAUAAUAUUACUAAUAAGAUCUAAUGUGAAUUGUUUUCUAUCAUUCAGGCAUGGUUAAACCCUAGUUCUCUCAGGUAUUGCCUUCUCUGUGGGGAGAUUCAAUGAUGUGGUUACUGUAGACACAAGAAAGAAUGUUCUUUAGUUAAUCCAAGUCCUCUUUUCUCUUGUUUUGAUGUCAAGUGCAAGAUACACAAAUUCAAGUUGAUGAUAGUUCCCAGUGGAUGAAAGCAAUGGCUCUAGUCUGAGUUGUGGCAGUCCUUGAAUCCUGUGAGUAUCAGCAGGGUUCCUGGUGUGUGCUGAUGUAAUCCCUAGGUCACAGAACACUGAUGCUGGCUUGCAUCAUAAUAGCCCUGUUGGUAUGUUGAGCACUGGUCAGGACAGUGAUUUAGUGAGGAAGUAGUUUCUCUACUGAUUUGUUGUUCGUGAGUGUACAAGUGAACUAGUUUGAUUCUUCGUUAUACUGAUUGGAGUGACUCUCUGAAGAGGAGGUGAAUUUGAAGAGGUGAUUUGUUGUUCGUGAGUGUACAAGUGAACUAGUUUGAUUCUUCGUUAUACUGAUUGGAGUCACUCUCUGAAGAGGAGGUGAAUUUGAAGAGGUGAUUUGUUGUUCGUGAGUGUACAAGUGAACUAGUUUGAUUCUUCGUUAUACUGAUUGGAGUCACUCUCUGAAGAGGUGAACCAUGAAGCAGAAACGAAAAAGGAAGCAUCUAGAAAGGACAAGUUCCCCCCAAACUGUCAAGAGGUCAAAAGACAAUACUCUGGUCCCUGAGGCAAAAGGUGAAUCCUCUGAAUCAGAAUACUUCUCCUGCUAUUCCUCCUUGAGUCAUCUGUCUUCUGCAGGAAUCUCAAAAUCAAGCAAAUUUGAUCCACCACCUGGCCACUGUUUGGAAGACAAUACUCUGGUUCCUGAGGCAAAAGGUGAAUCCUCUGAAUCAGAAUACUUCUCCUGCUAUUCCUCCUUCAGUCUUCUGUCUUCUGCAGGAAUCUCAAAAUCAAGCAAAUUUGAUCCACCAACUGGACCCUCUUUGGAAGACAAUACUCUGAUAUGUGAGGCUAAAGGUGAAUCCUUUGAAUCAAAAUACUUCGGCUAUUCCUUCUUGAGUCGUCUGUUUUCUGCAGGAAUCUCAAAAUCAAGCAAAUUUGAUCCACCAACUGGACCCUCUUUGGAAGACAAUACUCUGGUCCAUGAGGCUAAAGGUGAAUCAUCUGAAUCAAAAUACUUCUGCUAUUCCUCCUUGAGUCAUCUAUUUUCUGCAGGAAUCUCAAAAUCAAGCAAAUUUGAUCCACCACCUGGCCCCUCUUUGGAAGACAAUACUCUGGUCCCUGAGGCUAAAGGUGAAUCCUCUGAAUCAGAAUACUUCUCCUGCUAUUCCUCCUUGAGUCGUCUGUCUUCUGCAGGUAAGGGGCAAGGAAAGUCAUGCAAAGUCAAGAAGAUUAGGGCAGUGGGAGCCUGAACAGACUGGUAGACACCCAGCUAAGCAUCUCUCAGCUAGUGGGAGAAAGGUACACAUCAGACCCGGUUAUUAUCUUAUCCUCAUCUCUUAUUUGGGAAUCCGAGUGUCUUGUUCUUGUAUCCUCACUAGGAACUGAAUACAAACAGUUUUCAUGGGGCAGCCCCAGUGCCACAGUGGUUUAUGAC